UACGUAGGGUGCAAGCGUUGUCCGGAAUUAUUGGGCGUAAAGAGCUCGUAGGCGGUUUGUCGCGUCGGCUGUGAAAACUCGGGGCUCAACCCCGAGCCUGCAGUCGAUACGGGCAGACUAGAGUGCGGUAGGGGAGACUGGAAUUCCUGGUGUAGCGGUGGAAUGCGCAGAUAUCAGGAGGAACACCAAUAACGAAGGCAGCUCGCUGGGACGGUACUGACGCUAAGGCGCGAAAGCGUGGGGAGCGAACAGG
rnacentral:rRNA from 1 species